rnacentral:rRNA from 1 species
GGGUUGUGAGGUUAAGCGACUAAGCGUACACGGUGGAUGCCCUGGCAGUCAGAGGCGAUGAAGGGCGUGCUAAUCUGCGAUAAGCGCCGGUAAGGUGAUAUGAACCGUUAUAACCGGCGAUACCCGAAUGGGGAAACCCAGUGUGACUCGUCACACUAUCAUUAACUGAAUCCAUAGGUUAAUGAGGCGAACCGGGGGAACUGAAACAUCUAAGUACCCCGAGGAAAAGAAAUCAACCGAGAUUCCCCCAGUAGCGGCGAGCGAACGGGGAGGAGCCCAGAGCCUGAAUCAGCAUGUGUGUUAGUGGAAGCGUCUGGAAAGGCGCGCGAUACAGGGUGACAGCCCCGUACACAAAAGCGCAUGUGCUGUGAGCUCGAUGAGUAGGGCGGGACACGUGGUAUCCUGUCUGAAUAUGGGGGGACCAUCCUCCAAGGCUAAAUACUCCUGACUGACCGAUAGUGAACCAGUACCGUGAGGGAAAGGCGAAAAGAACCCCGGCGAGGGGAGUGAAAAAGAACCUGAAACCGUGUACGUACAAGCAGUGGGAGCCCCACCACCAAAGCAUUCUCUGGUGUUGAAGGCCCUGCAAAGCAGCAUCGCGGUGGCGGAGCGUCGUUUGCGACGCCCAACACACAAAACAAGCGGUGAAUGCUUUGGGGUGGGGUGACUGCGUACCUUUUGUAUAAUGGGUCAGCGACUUAUAUUCUGUAGCAAGGUUAACCGAAUAGGGGAGCCGGAGGGAAACCGAGUCUUAAUUGGGCGUUAAGUUGCAGGGUAUAGACCCGAAACCCGGUGAUCUAGCCAUGGGCAGGUUGAAGGUUGGGUAACACUAACUGGAGGACCGAACCGACUAAUGUUGAAAAAUUAGCGGAUGACCUGUGGCUGGGGGUGAAAGGCCAAUCAAACCGGGAGAUAGCUGGUUCUCCCCGAAAGCUAUUUAGGUAGCGCCUCGUGAAUUCAUCUCCGGGGGUAGAGCACUGUUUCGGCUAGGGGGCCAUCCCGGCUUACCAACCCGAUGCAAACUGCGAAUACCGGAGAAUGUUAUCACGGGAGACACACGGCGGGUGCUAACGUCCGUCGUGAAGAGGGAAACAACCCAGACCGCCAGCUAAGGUCCCAAAGUCAUGGUUAAGUGGGAAACGAUGUGGGAAGGCCCAGACAGCCAGGAUGUUGGCUUAGAAGCAGCCAUCAUUUAAAGAAAGCGUAAUAGCUCACUGGUCGAGUCGGCCUGCGCGGAAGAUGUAACGGGGCUAAACCAUGCACCGAAGCUGCGGCAGCGAACGUAUCACCCAAGACAACUUUACGGAGUUGACGAUUGACGGAGCGAAGCGACGUCAAAGCGUUCAUUAAAGUCGAGUUGGCUUAGGGAUACGUUCGUUGGGUAGGGGAGCGUUCUGUAAGCCUGUGAAGGUGUGUCGUGAGGCAUGCUGGAGGUAUCAGAAGUGCGAAUGCUGACAUAAGUAACGAUAAAGCGGGUGAAAAGCCCGCUCGCCGGAAGACCAAGGGUUCCUGUCCAACGUUAAUCGGGGCAGGGUGAGUCGACCCCUAAGGCGAGGCCGAAAGGCGUAGUCGAUGGGAAACGGGUUAAUAUUCCCGUACUUGGUGUUACUGCGAAGGGGGGACGGAGAAGGCUAUGUUGGCCGGGCGACGGUUGUCCCGGUUUAAGCGUGUAGGUGUGUGUUCCAGGUAAAUCCGGUUCACUUUAACACUGAGGCGUGAUGACGAGGCACUACGGUGCUGAAGCAACAAAUGCCCUGCUUCCAGGAAAAGCCUCUAAGCAUCAGGUAACAUCAAAUCGUACCCCAAACCGACACAGGUGGUCAGGUAGAGAAUACCAAGGCGCUUGAGAGAACUCGGGUGAAGGAACUAGGCAAAAUGGUGCCGUAACUUCGGGAGAAGGCACGCUGACACGUAGGUGAAGUGAUUUACUCACGGAGCUGAAGUCAGUCGAAGAUACCAGCUGGCUGCAACUGUUUAUUAAAAACACAGCACUGUGCAAACACGAAAGUGGACGUAUACGGUGUGACGCCUGCCCGGUGCCGGAAGGUUAAUUGAUGGGGUCAGCGCAAGCGAAGCUCCUGAUCGAAGCCCCGGUAAACGGCGGCCGUAACUAUAACGGUCCUAAGGUAGCGAAAUUCCUUGUCGGGUAAGUUCCGACCUGCACGAAUGGCGUAAUGAUGGCCAGGCUGUCUCCACCCGAGACUCAGUGAAAUUGAACUCGCUGUGAAGAUGCAGUGUACCCGCGGCAAGACGGAAAGACCCCGUGAACCUUUACUAUAGCUUGACACUGAACAUUGAGCCUUGAUGUGUAGGAUAGGUGGGAGGCUUUGAAGUGUGGACGCCAGUCUGCAUGGAGCCGACCUUGAAAUACCACCCUUUAAUGUUUGAUGUUCUAACGUGGACCCGUAAUCCGGGUUGCGGACAGUGUCUGGUGGGUAGUUUGACUGGGGCGGUCUCCUCCUAAAGAGUAACGGAGGAGCACGAAGGUUGGCUAAUCCUGGUCGGACAUCAGGAGGUUAGUGCAAUGGCAUAAGCCAGCUUGACUGCGAGCGUGACGGCGCGAGCAGGUGCGAAAGCAGGUCAUAGUGAUCCGGUGGUUCUGAAUGGAAGGGCCAUCGCUCAACGGAUAAAAGGUACUCCGGGGAUAACAGGCUGAUACCGCCCAAGAGUUCAUAUCGACGGCGGUGUUUGGCACCUCGAUGUCGGCUCAUCACAUCCUGGGGCUGAAGUAGGUCCCAAGGGUAUGGCUGUUCGCCAUUUAAAGUGGUACGCGAGCUGGGUUUAGAACGUCGUGAGACAGUUCGGUCCCUAUCUGCCGUGGGCGCUGGAGAACUGAGGGGGGCUGCUCCUAGUACGAGAGGACCGGAGUGGACGCAUCACUGGUGUUCGGGUUGUCAUGCCAAUGGCACUGCCCGGUAGCUAAAUGCGGAAGAGAUAAGUGCUGAAAGCAUCUAAGCACGAAACUUGCCCCGAGAUGAGUUCUCCCUGAGACUUAGAGUCUCCUGAAGGAACGUUGAAGACGACGACGUUGAUAGGCCGGGUGUGUAAGCGCAGCGAUGCGUUGAGCUAACCGGUACUAAUGAACCGUGAGGCUUAACCUUACAACGCCGAAG